rnacentral:lncRNA from 1 species
CACCCCAUGGUAAGCUGGGUUAUGAGGUUCCUUUCCAGGAAAACAUAUGACAUUCAUUCUGUUUCUUUCAGGAGCAGUUAAGCAAAGAAAAGAACUUAAGCCAUGGGGUGAUAAGGAAGAAAGAAGAGAAAAAAAUUCAGGAUGUGUAAUGUGUGGCACGGCCCAUGGGUAGAUGUCAUUGUCCUCGGAGGGUCGGUUUCAUUGCAAGACCAAGAGACUUUCCUUACUUCCAACUAGAUGUGAAACAGAAGAACCAAUUUGAAUCCUACUUUCAACAUGAUCCAGCCAUGUAAGCAUAAACAAUUCAUUUACAUUCUGUGAAGUUCAGUCUCAAAGGGAUGCUGCUAUAAUUCAAAUCAGCUAGAAUUAUCCUUCCCCUUAAACUCUUGAAGAUUAGUUUGCAACCCCAUUCCAUAAGUUGUGGAUAGCCCAUUGUCCCUCCCAAGAUAGAGUCGCAAGGUUCUGGGGGGAUUCCCUGGUCACUUGGGCUCUCAGCUUUGGUGUUUAUACUGUGCGGUGUUGCUUCACAGCAGACUGAUGGGAAAAUCACCUCCUCUCCCUGACAUCCUUCAGACCCUCCCCACUUACAAAAGGGACAGCUUUCCAGGGUAUUCAAAUGCAAACUAUUGAAACAGGAUAUUCUGCAUUCUUGGUGUCUAAACCCACAGUGAAACUGAAAGUCACUCCAUCAUCUCUGAUUCUUUGUCAGGCUC